rnacentral:tRNA from 1 species
GGGAUUGUAGUUCAAUUGGUUAGAGCACCGCCCUGUCAAGGCGGAAGC